rnacentral:tRNA from 1 species
GGGGGCGUAGCUCAGCGGUAGAGCAGCGGCCUUUUAAGCCGUUGGUCGUAGGUUCGACCCCUACCGCCCUCACCA